UACGGAGGGUGCAAGCGAUAUCCGGAUUUACUGGGUUUAAAGGGUGCGUAGGCGGGCUUUUAAGUCAGUGGUGAAAUCUCCGGGCUCAACCCGGAAAUUGCCAUUGAUACUAUUAGUCUUGAAUUAAGUUGAGGUGGGCGGAAUGUGUCAUGUAGCGGUGAAAUGCUUAGAUAUGACACAGAACACCGAUUGCGAAGGCAGCUCGCUAAGCUGUAACUGACGCUGAGGCACGAAAGCGUGGGGAUCAAACAGG
rnacentral:rRNA from 1 species